rnacentral:pre_miRNA from 1 species
CUUGUACUCCCUCUGUCCAGAAAUACUUGUCAUUGAAAUGGAUGUAUCUAGAUGUAUUUUAGUUCUAGACACAUCCAUUUUGAUGACAAGUAAUUCCGGACGGAGGGAGUACUUG